rnacentral:rRNA from 1 species
ACAUGCAAGUCGAACGAGCUUCCGUUGAAUGACGUGCUUGCACUGAUUUCAACAAUGAAGCGAGUGGCGAACUGGUGAGUAACACGUGGGGAAUCUGCCCAGAAGCAGGGGAUAACACUUGGAAACAGGUGCUAAUACCGUAUAACAACAAAAUCCGCAUGGAUUUUGUUUGAAAGGUGGCUUCGGCUAUCACUUCUGGAUGAUCCCGCGGCGUAUUAGUUAGUUGGUGAGGUAAAGGCCCACCAAGACGAUGAUACGUAGCCGACCUGAGAGGGUAAUCGGCCACAUUGGGACUGAGACACGGCCCAAACUCCUACGGGAGGCAGCAGUAGGGAAUCUUCCACAAUGGACGAAAGUCUGAUGGAGCAAUGCCGCGUGAGUGAAGAAGGGUUUCGGCUCGUAAAACUCUGUUGUUAAAGAAGAACACCUUUGAGAGUAACUGUUCAAGGGUUGACGGUAUUUAACCAGAAAGCCACGGCUAACUACGUGCCAGCAGCCGCGGUAAUACGUAGGUGGCAAGCGUUGUCCGGAUUUAUUGGGCGUAAAGCGAGCGCAGGCGGUUUUUUAAGUCUGAUGUGAAAGCCUUCGGCUUAACCGGAGAAGUGCAUCGGAAACUGGGAGACUUGAGUGCAGAAGAGGACAGUGGAACUCCAUGUGUAGCGGUGGAAUGCGUAGAUAUAUGGAAGAACACCAGUGGCGAAGGCGGCUGUCUAGUCUGUAACUGACGCUGAGGCUCGAAAGCAUGGGUAGCGAACAGGAUUAGAUACCCUGGUAGUCCAUGCCGUAAACGAUGAGUGCUAAGUGUUGGAGGGUUUCCGCCCCUUCAGUGCUGCAGCUAACGCAUUAAGCACUCCGCCUGGGGGAGUACGACCGCAAGGUUGAAACUCAAAGGAAUUUGACGGGGGCCCGCACAAGCG